CCUACGGGCGGCAGCAGUGGGGAAUAUUGGGCAAUGGGCGCAAGCCUGACCCAGCAACGCCGCGUGAAGGAAGAAGGCUUUCGGGUUGUAAACUUCUUUUGUCAGGGACGAGUAGAAGACGGUACCUGACGAAUAAGCCACGGCUAACUACGUGCCAGCAGCCGCGGUAAUACGUAGGUGGCAAGCGUUGUCCGGAUUUACUGGGUGUAAAGGGCGUGUAGUCGGGUUGACAAGUCAGAUGUGAAAUCCUGCGGCUUAACCGCAGAACUGCAUUUGAAACUGUUGAUCUUGAGUACUGGAGAGGAAGAUGGAAUGCCUAGUGUAGCGGUGAAAUGCGUAGAUAUUAGGAGGAAAACCAGUGGCGAAGGCGGUCUGCUGGACAGCAACUGACGGUGAGGCGCGAAAGCGUGGGGAGCAAACAGGAUUAGAUACCCCAGUAGUA
rnacentral:rRNA from 1 species